GCUUUGACACGGUUACCGGCAAGGAGGCUCUCAGGAAACGACGUUGAAAAUGACAGCUUUAGUGCAUCCG